UACGAAGGGGGCUAGCGUUGCUCGGAAUUACUGGGCGUAAAGGGCGCGUAGGCGGACAGUUUAGUCAGAGGUGAAAGCCCAGGGCUCAACCCUGGAAUUGCCUUUGAUACUGAUUGUCUUGAGUAUGGGAGAGGUGUGUGGAACUCCGAGUGUAGAGGUGAAAUUCGUAGAUAUUCGGAAGAACACCAGUGGCGAAGGCGACACACUGGCCCAUUACUGACGCUGAGGCUCGAAAGCGUGGGGAGCAAACAGG
rnacentral:rRNA from 1 species